UCAGACACACACACAUGCACACAGAGUUUGCAGGGAAAAGAUGCUGACAUUUGCAGGCUGUGCUGUGCAGUUAUGGUCUGGACUUAACUCUUUGCCAGGUGGAAAAAAAUGCCUAAAGCCUGGAGUGAGGGCUGCAGCAACCCAGCAAUUCAAGAACUGAGCCCACUGUGUACUUCCUUUUAUACAAAAUGAUUGUCAAAGAUUUCCAGUUCUGAUUUCUGCUUUAUUUUCUCAAGAGAAUUAAAGCUGCUGCUAUGUGGGAAGCACAGGCUUGAAAGAUUUCCUGCCCCAUUCUGCUCUGUCCCACAUGGAGUGACAGACCCAUAGAUCCCACUGAAAUGGAUUAUUGCUGUAAAUGUGCCUCUCCUGUCUCAGGAUCUCCUCUGCUCAAGAUGACCCUGAGAUGUAUUAAAAGUUUCUUUUCCCCAACCCAGCUGUCGAAGAAGGAGUCAGAAGUCUUCGGCUGUAGUUUUUAAGGCUGUUUAUAAUUUCUUAUUUAAAUCAUUUUUUGUUUGGCCUGCUGAGGUUUGUCCAGCAGGUUAGUUUGUGGCAUAUUGCUUUCUUAUGGGGUUGGCGUUGCUUUUUAUAUUCUAAACUAGGUAUUUAUAGUUAUGUUCUAAUAUUUAUUACCUAUGUUAGACAGUGACUUUCUACUUUGCACCAAUCCCAAAGUACUACCAUCACCAAGAAGAUGGAGGCUAGGAAGAAGAAGGAAGAAGAACAGGACAAUGCCUAAAUCCUUCUGUCUUGCCUCUUAGACUCCUAUAGUAAAAAUCUUCAAAAUUUCACUGUUGAACUGAUGAAAACUACUAUUAUGCUACUUAAAAUUUUGUGACUUGUAAUUCUUCAUACAAGGUUGGUAAUUUGCUCCAUGGGUUAAGACCGAAAUCCUACGUGGUUUUGGCUUCUUGCCAGGGUCUCUGAGCCCCUGCCAGGAUUUUGAGGCAUCCAGGGCACCCAGAGGGAUCUCCUGGGUUCCGACUCUCCUGGACCCACUCUGUCUGUGGGCAGUUUCACAUCAGUGUUUCAACAAUAACCUAUGAAAGGCCUGAUGCUUGUAAGUGAAAUAAUUACUCUGAAAUUUUGACCAGCCCAUGGUGUUCCACAUGGAAAGAAAACACAGACGGGCCCACGAGGAUGGUCUUCCCUAUUGACUCUGAAAGUUACAGGAUGACACAGUAAAAAUCACUGUACGUGCUCUCAACUGUUCUCCAUAUGCUGUCACUUGGUAAGACAAAAGAGAAUCAGGUCACUUUCUUUACUUGUACAAGUUGUAAGCAGUAUUGCUGAAGAUCCCAUAUUUAUAAAUCUUUGAGUAGUUUGAAUCUAUUCUGCAGACUCCUUCUCUGUACAUCUCUAUUGAUUUAGUGUUUUUUACAGUUAUGUUUUUAAAGCAUGCCUCAUUUAUAAAUUCUGCAUUUAUUACCCUCUGUUCAGCUAAGCUGGGAUACAUUUCCA